rnacentral:rRNA from 1 species
UACGUAGGGUGCGAGCGUUAAUCGGAAUUACUGGGCGUAAAGCGCGCGUAGGCGGUUUGAUAAGUCAGAUGUGAAAUCCCCGGGCUCAACCUGGGAACUGCAUUUGAAACUGUCUGACUAGAGUAUGGUAGAGGGUAGUGGAAUUCCUGGUGUAGCGGUGAAAUGCGUAGAUAUCGGGAGGAACAUCAGUGGCGAAGGCGACUACCUGGACCAAUACUGACGCUGAGGUGCGAAAGCGUGGGGAGCAAACAGG